rnacentral:rRNA from 1 species
UACGGAGGGUGCAAGCGUUGUUCGGAAUUACUGGGCGUAAAGCGCGUGUAGGCGGUUUGGUAAGUCAGAUGUGAAAGCCCUGGGCUCAACCCAGGAAGUGCAUUUGAAACUGCCUUACUCGAGUAUGGGAGAGGAGAGUGGAAUUCCCAGUGUAGAGGUGAAAUUCGUAGAUAUUGGGAGGAACACCCGUGGCGAAGGCGACUCUCUGGACCAAUACUGACGCUGAGACGCGAAAGCGUGGGGAG